rnacentral:rRNA from 1 species
GACGAACGCUGGCGGCGUGCUUAACACAUGCAAGUCGAACGGAAAGGCCCUGCUUGCAGGGUGCUCGAGUGGCGAACGGGUGAGUAACACGUGGGUGAUCUGCCCCUUAUUUUGGGAUAAGCCUGGGAAACUGGGUCUAAUACUGGAUAGGACCAUGCUGUAGGUGGUGUGGUGGAAAGAUUAGUUUCGGUAAGGGAUGAGCUCGCGGCCUAUCAGCUUGUUGGUGGGGUAAUGGCCUACCAAGGCGUCGACGGGUAGCCGGCCUGAGAGGGUGGACGGCCACAUUGGGACUGAGAUACGGCCCAGACUCCUACGGGAGGCAGCAGUGGGGAAUAUUGCACAAUGGGCGCAAGCCUGAUGCAGCGACGCCGCGUGGGGGAUUACGGCCUUCGGGUUGUAAACUCCUUUCAGCCAUGACGAAGCCCUUGUGGUGACGGUAGUGGUAGAAGAAGCACCGGCUAACUACGUG